CGGGGAAUGACUACCAGGACCUAAAGAGAGGAGGGGGGCAAGAAGACAUGUUUUCGAUAAAACUAUCUGAGAAAAGAAAAGAAAAUUAGGAGAGAUGAAAUCCAGAUAUAACUAAGUAAGUUCAACUAUGCUUGAGCUGUGGAGUCCAGUGGCGUUGUUUUUGGGCGAUUAUGGACUUCGGGCGCGUAAUUUGUCUAUACAAACGGGGAGGAUAGCAACACAUGACCAUAGCCAUUUGUAAGGAUGGGUAUCCAUGUCUAUCCUGAUUGUGUGGUUCCCCUAAGCUAUAAACCCCUAUUCAGAAAGGUUAUUGUUUAGGCUCCAACAAGGUAGAGGGCCAUUAAGCAUAUGAAGAAGGAUCUCAAUGGCACCGUAAUUACAGGGGUUCCGACAAUCACUGGAUUAUACAAACUAAUUUUGGAGACUGGGGUAUUAAUGCUCUUUAAGACAAAUAUGAACCAAAAAGUAAACCUAAUUGUUUUCCAGAAACCUAAAAGGGUUUCCACUUUGUAUAACAAGACUUUAAAAAUGGCAAAGUUGAUACUGCAUUCAUACUGAAGCAUGAAUAAGAGUUGGUUGUUGUAAGAUGCCAGAGCUUAUCGUUUGGGCGCUUAUAUUUUUUUUUCUGUUUUUUGUUAUUUUAUCUUGAUACUUCUCACUU